CUCAAGACGAACGCUGGCGGCGUGCCUAACACAUGCAAGUCGAACGGAGUCAAGAAGCUUGCUUUUGACUUAGUGGCGGACGGGUGAGUAACGCGUGAGUAACCUGCCUCUGAGAGGGGAAUAACGUUCUGAAAAGAACGCUAAUACCGCAUAACGUAUCGAAGCCGCAUGACUUUGAUACCAAAGAUUUUAUCGCUCGGAGAUGGACUCGCGUCCGAUUAGUUAGUUGGUGAGGUAACGGCUCACCAAGACCGCGAUCGGUAGCCGGACUGAGAGGUUGAUCGGCCACAUUGGGACUGAGACACGGCCCAGACUCCUACGGGAGGCAGCAGUGGGGGAUAUUGCGCAAUGGGGGCAACCCUGAACCGCAGCAACGCCGCGUGAAGGAUGAAGGUUUUCGGAUUGUAAACUUCUUUUAUCAGGGACGAAGCUUGACGGUACCUGAUGAAUAAGCUCCGGCUAACUACGUGCCAGCCGCCGC
rnacentral:rRNA from 1 species